GUGGUGACUGCUGCUGCAGCUCAGGCGCUUCAUGAUUCCUCUUUGAAGAACACUAGGCGUGCAUGUUUGUGCGCAGGAGCUUACUUCUUUCCCUGGAAUGAAGAACCGCGGCCUCUCGAAUAUCACUUUCCCUCGGUCAAUUAUCGUGACUGAGCAGCUGCUUGGGAGCCUCUUCAAACAGUAUUUUGCGAGGGAUGUGGACAAACUAAACCGCACACGACAAAACCAAAACAGCAGAAGAAGCAAAGAAGAAAACCACUCAUGGAUGGAAGCUUCCCGUCAACGCGUGUUAAAUGGGAGUGGUCGCUUACCCAGUCGGCACAAAUCUGCUGGUACCGAGGAUCAAUUUCGUAGCGUCCUCCAACUUGGCAGCAUCCACCAGGCACUCUUUAACACUGGCUCCAACAACCACUUUAAUGUCCAACUUGAUCUGCGACACACAAAGCAAAAGCAGCAAAGACAAGAGUGAGGAAAGAAGAACCAUUAAAAUUUUGGUGUGAGAGGCCCUGGUACACUCCUAAAACACCUUGAAAGGUCUCGUCCAGUUCCUUUCUGGUGGCCGGAUCCAGCUCCGAAGACAGUGCUGCCAAAACGUUACAAAGUUUUACAGGGUUUUUCGUAUGAAAAAGAUGAGCCACGAAGAAGUUUGAGAUUGAAAAACGGAAGAAAAAUGGAAGUUUGCUUACCGGUAGAGGAGGAAGAUUGGAGGACAUGAACAGCAAUGACGUGAUCUCCCGGG